CCUACGGGCGGCAGCAGUGGGGAAUCUUCCGCAAUGGACGAAAGUCUGACGGAGCGACGCCGCGUGAGUGAUGAAGGCCCUUGGGUCGUAAAGCUCUGUCAUUGGGGACGAACGAUUACGUCAGGAAAUGGGCGUGAAGUGACGGUACCCAAGAAGGAAGCCACGGCUAACUACGUGCCAGCAGCCGCGGUAAUACGUAGGUGGCAAGCGUUGUCCGGAAUUAGUGGGCGUAAAGCGCGCGCAGGUGGGAUCUUAAGUCCAUUUUGAAAGUUCGGAGCUCAACUCCGUGAGGGGAUGGAAACUGGGAUUCUUGAGUAUCGGAGAGGAAAGCGGAAUUCCCCGUGUAGCGGUGAAAUGCGUAGAUAUGGGGAGGAACACCAGUGGCGAAGGCGGCUUUCUGGACGAUGUCUGACACUGAGGCGCGAAAGCCAGGGGAGCGAACGGGAUUAGAUACCCCGGUAGUCA
rnacentral:rRNA from 1 species